UAACCAAGCAAAACACUCCCUCUGUGCC
rnacentral:piRNA from 1 species